rnacentral:lncRNA from 10 species
CUCUGGUAGGAGAAUAAGCCAUGAGGAUAGAGCCCUGGUGAAUGAGAUUAGUGCCCUUGUAAAAGAUACCCUAGACAACUCUCUCACCCUCUUUCUACCAGGUGAGGAGACAACCAGAAGUCUGCAGUCUGCAACCCAGAAGAGAAGACCUUCAUCCGAACCCAACCAUACUGGCAAUCUGAUCUUAGACUUCCAGCAUCCAAAACUGAUGAUGGGGAUGAGGAGACAAUAGCCCCAGCAUCUGGUCAUAAUUUGUAAAUCUCGACAUUCUCCCUAACACCAGCUGGAAAUAUUUCAUGCUCUAGCAUCGUUUUACAAGUUGC